AAACCAUAAUGUGAACACUGUUUUUGCAUACCCUUUAAUCUCUCUCAAGCUUCAUAUCAUGUCUCAUCAUCCCAUUAAGCAAAGGUAAUAAUGUCAUUCCUAAGCUU